rnacentral:rRNA from 1 species
UACGUAGGGGGCAAGCGUUGUCCGGAUUUAUUGGGCGUAAAGAGCGUGUAGGCGGUUUGUCGCGUCUGCUGUGAAAAUCCGGGGCUCAACCCCGGACUUGCAGUGGGUACGGGCAGACUAGAGUGUGGUAGGGGAGACUGGAAUUCCUGGUGUAGCGGUGAAAUGCGCAGAUAUCUGGAGGAACACCGGUGGCGAAGGCGGCAUUCUGGACCGACAUUGACGCUGAGGAGCGAAAGCCAGGGGAGCAAACGGG